GGUACGGCGGCCGCGGAGGCCCGGCGGCGGAGGGACGGGCGCUCCCGCCAUGUAACGCGCCGCCGCUCCCCCCCCGCCGCCGCCUCCGCACCGCUGCCCUCCGCUGCUCGCCCGGAUCCCCCCGCCCGGGAUGGGGGCCCGGUGCCCGGCGGGCGCCCGGCCAUGAAGGGCGGCGGGGGAACCGCUGCCAGCACCUGCCCGCCGCGAGGGGACCGCGACGCCCGGGGACCGGCGGGGCUCCUCCUCGCUUACUGCUAUGGACAGUGCUAUCACCCUGUGGCAGUUCCUCCUCCAGCUCCUCCAAGAGCCUCAGAACAAGAAUAUCAUCUGUUGGACCUCCAACGACGGGGAGUUCAAGCUGCUGCAGGCAGAGGAGGUGGCCAGACUCUGGGGAAUCCGCAAGAACAAGCCCAGUAUGAACUAUGAUAAACUCAGCCGUGCUCUCAGAUACUAUUAUGUGAAGAAUAUCAUUAAAAAAGUGAACGGUAAGAAGUUUGUGUACAAGUUUGUUUCUUAUCCGGAGAUUUUAAAUAUGGAUCCACUUGUUGUGGGCCGUAUAGAAGGAGACCCCGAAAUGACUGGUUUUGCGGAAGUUAGCAGUGCUCCAAAGGAUGUGGAAAACUGCGGGAAGGAGAAGUCUCAGUCGUGUGCUAAAUCCUCCAGCCGCAAUGACUAUAUCCACUCAGGCUUGUACUCCUCUUUCACGCUGAACUCCCUGAACUCUUCCAGCGUCAAACUCUUCAGGUCCAUCAAGAUUGAGAAUCCAGCUGAGAAACUGUCGGAGAAGAAACCUGCUCAGGAUCCAACACCCUCUGUCAUCAAGUUUGUCACCAUGCCCUCCAAAAAGCCUUCCUCUGUCCCCCUGGUCUCCACCACUUCAGUGGUCCCUGUCACUUCCACCGCCUCUGCCACUUCCACCGCAUCCUCUCUUCCCAUGGGAUCGGAAGAAACUCUCCAGACCUUGGAGACGCUUGUUCUACCCAAGUUAACUGUCCCUGAAGCUCCAGCACCUUUGCCAAACUUAACCACCAGCUUCACCCCGACUCCCCCCAUAUCCUCCGUUUCUCCCACUCUGCAAGUUCCUUCCACGCCCCCGUCGCCGCCCCUGAGCUCUAACCCUGACCUGGACAUUGACACGGACAUCGAGUCCGUGACUUCUCAGCAGCUGGAGCAGGCUCAGAGCCUUCAGCAUCAAUCCCCAGAGCCCAAAGAGCAGGAUUCCUCUGUGCUGGAGAAGGAGUUUGCCAAUCACCUCUCCAGAUCGAAAAAACCCAAAGGGCUGGAGUUGGCUCCUACUCUCGUCAUUACAGGCAGCGAUCCAAGUCCGCUGGGGAUCCUGAGUCCUUCUCUCCCAACUGCUUCUCUUACUCCAGCACUUUUCUCCCAGACUCCCAUCUUGCUGACGCCGAGUCCCUUGCUCUCCAGCAUUCACUUCUGGAGUACGCUCAGCCCCGUUGCUCCUCUCAGUCCUGCCAGGUUGCAAGGUGCUAACACGCUCUUUCAGUUUCCAUCAGUGCUGAACAGUCACGGCCCAUUUACUCUGUCUGGACUGGAUGGACCCUCUACCCCUGGCCCGUUUUCCCCUGAUCUACAGAAGACAUAGCACAUGAACUCAUGGAAAGGACACAUUGGCAAGCAAGGGAAAGAUAUGACACUUAUAUUUAACCAUGUUUUUUAAACGAGCAAUUUGUAAUUCCACAGAGAUUAUCAACAAUCAUAGUUUUUGCCAUUCCCAAACAAAAUGCCUUUUUUUGCAAAAUUCCCUUUUUUUGAAGACCCAGGUUGGGAAUGUAUAUGCAAACGCCUUAAUAGGAGCUGAAGCUCCGGUUUCUUCUCUUCCCUCCGCGGUUCGGAAGAUUCCCUCUGCUCAAAGGGAGUUGCGGUUGGAGUUGCAGUGACUGACUCUGCACUGAUUGCAGCAGACGGGAUCAGAGAAGUCUUUUCUCUGUGACUCUUGGAAAAACUCUCUGUUCUUCUGCUUCCCGUGCUUGGCAAGAAGAAAUCUAAUCCCGAUCGAAGCUGGCAUUCCAGGAAAUGCUUGGGAAAGGGGUGUGUGCAUCGGCUUCGCCUUGGGGCCUGAUAACUUCUGCAGCAACAGAACAGCCCGCGUCUUUUCUGCUGUAAAAACGUCUUGUCUUUUUGCAGGGAGAAAUUUUCAAGGACUAUUCAAUGAUUGUGUUACUGAGAUAUGGACAAUUUUUGAAUGGCAUUGUAUACUGACAGCCCAGCCCCUGGGAGGAGCGGUCGGGCUGGCUUCGGGAUGCUUCCCUGCCCUCCCUCCGUGCGGAGGCAGGGGCUGGAGACGAACGAAUGGUGGGAUUAGUUCCUUUCAGUUCUCAGAAAUGCUGAAGUCCAAACAUUUCUUGUGCCAGAGACCUGUUACAAAGCCCGUCAUCUCACUGCUGGAAGAUUAGCAGGAUUUUACGUGAGGUUCUGAGGGUGCAUUUGGUGAGGUUGCUGCCUGAUGCUCCAGUUUCAGACCCAAACGGUGGGCGAGAACACUAACGGCUGAGCAUUAACGUUACUGCUCUUUUCCCACAGUUGAAGUGGAGAAGCUCCUCUUCUACCAGCACUUAUCUCAAGUUUUGCAUUAGAUCUAUUGGGUUUUUUUCAUUUGAGGAAGCACUCGGACCCAAAGUGCGUUAGGCUCAGUGUGUACGGCUCUCGGUGAGGGGUACCACGGCGUGUCACCUUAUUGUAAAUUUGCGCUCGCAUUGCUUUCCUUGGUGGCCACGUGUGUGUGGAUUAAGACAAGAUUAGUUUCCAGAGCCAUUUGAAAAACUGAUGAAAUGAAAUUUGUAGUUAGAUUAUUUUUUUUUUACACCUCGGGAGGCCUUUUAAGAGAGCUGAGGAAGGAAAGAAGAGAGAAUCUCCUCUCGCGGCCCCUCGGGGCUGCAUUUCUCGGGCUGUUGGUGCUGGGCAGUGUGCGCUUCCACUUCGGGCAUCUGAUGCCAGGCAGCAACUUCUGUUUGCUCCCGUGUACGUUGAGUUGGUGAUGUAAGAUAACCUUCUCUGUAAAAUACCCACUAGAAUACAGAUGGAGACCAUCUCUAUCCUUUGGCAUCCUCGCUGGCUGUCUUCAAAGUUUUACUGAGCAGAGGAGGAUUGCACCUUUACAGCAAGAGGAGCUGACAGUGUCCGCUGUAUAUAUUGCACCUCUCCUACCGAUAAGUGGUGAACUCGAGCUUUCCAGAGUUUUCUUUUUGCCACUUUUGUAGACUCUGAAUUCACUUUAAAGCGUGUGACAAUACCCAAGGCUUAAUUUACUGCAGCGACGUUAUCUUUUUAUAUUCUAGCGUUGAAAUACGUAAACCACUCGGUAUGUUCCUGACAUGACACCCUAGACAGGAGGGUGCAACGGAGCUGCUUUUUGGGCAUCGGUCAUCCAGAAAGUCCCCUGCCCGGUGGGAGGUGGGGGAAAAAGAAUAUGCCUGUCUUUGGGUGGAGGUGGCAGGGAAUGAUCUCGUGUCGUGAACCGUCUUCCUGUUGGGUUACGUCAGAGGCAUAAUUCUGCUUCGCAUGUUAGACAUCAGCAGAUGCAGGAUAAAGUUCCUGUGCCAGCGGCUCUUAAAAUGACAAUGAUGUGCAAUAUUGACCUUUUUUUUUAUUUUUUUAUUUUGUAAAUGCAGAAAGCAAGCUGCAGUUCGUAAUUAAGAGCAGGCACCUGGAAUUUUCUGGUUUGCAUGAUGGCUUCUGAGUCUGCUCUAGAAAAUACGUAUAGCUAUAUAUAAAUAGCAGCACUUUUAAUGGUUGUUUUAGGUUGGCCAAUUUUAUGCCCACCGAGCGCGUGGGCUUGAGAGCGACGUUGCAGCCUAGGAUUAGAAUUUAAAAAUAAUUAAUGAGCACUAAAGACUUGCAAUUUAAUUGCUUCCCUUUCCUUGUCCCCCUAUGGAGAAAAGCCAGGUUUAUUUGUUUAAAAGUUGUGUAUGUGCGCACACGCACUUAAUUUUUUUGUGAACUGUUAUCACUUUCAGGAUAGGUAUGCAAGAGAACCAAAUGCUGGCCUAGCUUGUGGGUUGUGCUUGGUCUAGUUUGAUGCUCUUCUCCAGGUAAGCCUGCACUGCCGUAGCGGCGGGGUGAGAUACCUUCACCUUCGGGAAUAACUGCUUCAGACAAAGGCGAGGUGAAGACGCAGCCCGUGUGCGUGCUGGUUUCAGUCCGGUAAUGCCCAGCUUCCUGAUGGAGAGCACCGAGAAGAUAAUUGCUUUUGCUUCUUAAGCACCUGCCUAGGAACAGAGAAGUCCUGUGUCGGGUUAUAAACUCAGGAGAGAGUUGGGAAAGCGAGUUGGGAGGUGGGAGAGGAGAGGCUUGCUCACCUUUUCUCCAAUACAACUUUCAGGUCACUUAAGGUAUCGUGUAUAUAUGCUGCCUCGUUAAACACACCUUUACUAACAAGUACGUAACUGCCAGCUGUUUGGGAUCACAUUCCUGACAGAGCACAGUGUCGCCGUGACUUCGUGGAGCUUGGUUAUGUGAAUCGCUGGUACUUUUCCUAGCUCGCUUCAGGAGCACUUUGCAGCUCGCUGCGACUUGUUUUUAAUCUAAUGCAGGGCAGGCGGGGGUUAAUAUAGGCUCUUUUCUAAUUAUCACGUUAGCAGUCUGUAAUAUGGGUAUAGUACCGUGUUGGUUUAAAAAAAUAAUAAUGCAGCAUUACAGAAACGUUUUAUUACAGUUCAUGUUGCUGAAGUAGCCAUGGUAUUGUUGAAUGCUUGAUAAUAUUUGCAUCGGUUAAUUCAUAGAUGGUGGUAGAAUUAGACUGGAUGAGCAUGGAAGCUGAACAUCUGUCUUGCUUCUGGAAAUCUCUUUUCCACGUCACUGCCGCUGCAUGAUAGCGCUGCAGAGCUGAAGAGCUUGUGCUGCCGUUGCUGUGUGUGCUACGUCUGGCUUUUUUUGAGAUCCCGGACUGUCAGGAUGCCACUAGCAGCACGCGCUGCCAGCAGAAACAAGCCAUGGAAAGCAGAACCGUGUUGCUGAUACCCUGCAGUUGUAGAACCGUGUUCUGUCUUACCUGUUUUCAGAGAAUGUGAUCCUAGGAACGAGGGUGAGGGAGGAAAACUGUUUAUUUUUUUUUCUUACCAGCAGCUUAAGUGUAGAUCCUUGUUCCAGAAAUUGGUCCUCAGCAGUGACGGCUGAAUGUAAUUCCUAUGCACUGUCUUUGGCACAUUCAAGUUGCAUUUUGCAAUAGGUCAGGAAAUGAUAAAAUUUCUUGAAUUUGAGAAUUCCUUGUUUUAACUUAGAGCAUCCUAAGAUUUCGGUAACCACGCGAUCUUUGGUAUAGUGGAGCGUGCAUUGUAAUCGAAAGGCUUUGGCCGGUCAGUGGUUUGUUUGGGAUAAUUUCUCCCCCUGAUACCUUUUCAAACCUCAGCUAUCUGGCAAAUAGAGUCGUCUUGUUUUUUAUAGUGUUCAUUUUAACCACCGCCAAGGCUGCUGGUGUGCGGAUCUUCCUUUACGCAGCUUUUCGAAACGCGGCGAGGUGCGUUACCGUCAGAUGCCCUCCUGACCUCAGCCUUCCUUUGCGAGCUUCUGCAGGCGGCGAUGUGCUGCGGGCGCCGGCCGAGGGCACUGAGGCUUCUCCUCGGGUGAGCGCAGGGUUCUGCUCCGCUUCUGUAGCGUUUUCCCAGCGCUGAGGUCAGAACCCGCGGUUCUGACAGUCUCUCGGCUACCUGUGGUUUAUUCAUUUAUCUUUUAGUUACCUUUUGCUACUGUUUUUAUAGCGUUUUUGUAUGUACUCAUGUUUUACUAUACAAUUUAACCUCUUCCAUUUUUAAUGCAUAUUUGUUUACAAGACGCAUCUCAGUGUUGUAUCAAGAGGUAUCUUGGUAUUGUCAGCUAUGAAAAUAAACUACAUCCGUAGUUAAGGAACAUUGUCAAAAUUGACAGGUGUUUUAAAAACUUGAUGUCUGAGUUUUAGGUGUCCAUGACGAUUUUGUUCUGUUUCGUUCCUUAGUUCUCCCGUGUAAGAGAGACACGUACCUCCUGGCCGCGGGUCCUGGGUAUGAGUAGUUUAUUUUGUCUUAAUAAUCGCGGAGCGCGGAUUGCAAACCGGCAGCCCCAGCCCCGCAGGACCUUACGCUCGGCAGCUAAGUUGAAAAUCCACUAGAAUUGCAAUCGUGUUGCUUAGAAGCUAUUCGGCAUGUUUUAAUGAGGUAUAGUAUGUCUUGCCGAAACAGGAAUUUUUAUGGUUUGAUUUGAAUUUAAUUACACAGUAAUUGGCAAUGGCUGCUGUUUCGUCUGAGCAGCGUUAGCAGAUGUGCUCAAUGGGGAAGCCUUUGGCUGUUGCCCCCGCGUUGCGUGGUGGUUACUGUGUGACGUGCUAAAGCUGCUCUGCUGAAACCAGAGGCUGUCCCAUGAAGAUUAAAAGAUAAAAAGCGGUGACAGUUGUUUUACACAGUCCUUCGGGGCCGUUACUGCACGAGGCUUUGUCUCGGAUCCACACCAGCUUCGUUUGCGCGAGGAGCGUUGGCUGUGUAGGAGCCCUUCCUAAAAGCUGGUUCUGGCAGAGAAUUUUUGAAAAUAGAACCAGAUCUUUUCUCUUUAGCUUGCUUUUAGUCGUAAGGACGUAACAUAGGAGCUACAAAGCCACAGCGAUGGCAGUGCUGCCACGUUUCUGCUCUCCGCGUUUAUCCCAACAGCCCUUCUGCUGAAAUUUCCCGACUGUCCCGGUGCCGUCUAAAGCAGAAGGGUUAAGCUUUGGGCUUGGGUGGCAUCUUCAACUGAGGAACGGUAUUCUUGCCAUUGUACAAAGAAAAAAAAAAAAAAGGAGGGAGAAUGCGUUCACUGCAGAUCGUUGAUUCUUUUUGGAGGAUGCAGCUUUGCUGACCGUAACCGUGCUUUGCCAAAAAAAAAAAGUGAGCUGCGAGGGAAGGAAGCUGGGCAGGGCCCAGUGGCUCUUCUUGACUGCGUGCGCUAACGCGUUCCCCUUUCAGGAUAGCAAGGUGUCUGCCUCGUAUAAAUUAUUCUACAAAAGUAAAACUGACUAGACGUUAUUUUUGUUUACCCCCUCCCAAAGAACGUCCUAGGAGAUUUGGCUGCGGAGCUGUUCCAGCCAUCUGAUAAAAAGCGUACUCUGAGAGCUGAAAACCCUUCUUUUUAGCCGCGUCCUUGCAGUGGGGGUGCAGUAGCUCUUUUCCUGUGCACACACGCGUGUGCACGCGCUCGCCGCGUGGGGGGACGUGCGUGUUCCUGACACAGCCCGGCUGCCAGCUUCGUAUCGACCGUUCUCAGCCGGUACCCGCAGCAAAGACCGCACGGUGCAGUUGCCACUUUUCAAUGUUUUGCACACCCUGGUGAGGUUUUUCGGGGCAUUUUUCUUUUUUUUUUUAUUUCAGUACUCAAAUCAAUUUAUACCAAUAAUUAGUUGCCAAAGGUUAUUUUUAAAUGCAUCUUUGACAUUGUUGUAUGCCACAUCUUCUAAAAAAAAAAAAAAAAAAAAGUGUCUUAAAUGUGUCUUUGAAUAGUUUUAUGUUCAUGGAACAAAAGUUUAGACUCUUUUUUUUUUUUUUUUUUUUACUUAAAACACUUGCUCUCCGUUGAGGCCGUGCGUUGCAGAAGGAUCUCAUCUCAAAGUCGGGGUUUUGGCAGGGGGUGUAACAGGCUAAUUACAAACCUUCGGAAAACGAGGGUCUUUUAAUGGGGCCAGCGGAUGAACUGGGAGCAGGGCAGUAAGGCGAGGGGAGGAGGGUCGGAAUCAGCAGUACACGCAGCAGUGCUGUACUAAUAACUGGAAGCUGUUUUUUAUAUAUAUUUUUUUUCGUUUGAGGUUCUUUUUUUUUUUUUUCUUUUUUUUUUGAGCACAGGAAGGCUUGGAGGAUGGCCUCUGCAUGGUUCCUGGGGUGUGCUGUGUGCUGGGGGGGGGGUUACAGUCAAUACCUGGGUUUGCUCUAAGGCUCCUUGAGAUGUGUUGUGUUUUUUUGGCUAGCAUGUCUUAAAUCUUCAGGCUUUGAAACUGCUUUAUAGAAUUGUGUUGACUUUUUUUUGUUCUGCUGUUGUUCAGUUGCACAGAGUUUUAUAUAUAUGAUGUACUAGUUUUAACGUUAAUUCUCUGUGAACAGGGUUGAGAUUAUUCAUUGUAGUUCUAAAAAAAAAAAAAAAAAAAAAAGUUGUAUUCUAAAAACUCCCUUUUAAAAAUCUUGUUUGUAUUCUGUUGCAGUGUUACCAGAUGGCCUUAUGUACGUCACAGUGUUUGUGAUAAGUACAGUAGCACAUUUAAUGCUUAUCUCCCCCCCCCACUCUGUUUUUAUAGCUGAGAAGUAUAUUCUUAAUAAUAGAGAUGAAUAACUGGGGAAAUUCUAGCAACAUAUAGGGUGUGGAUAGCGGUCGUCUCCUCCUAAUGUAUAUUAGGACAGCUGGAAUUAAUCUGGGGCUGAAACGACUCUGAAUAGGGAUCGUUAACCAGCGUGAGACUUUGUCUUGGGAAUUCUGAGAAUCCUUGAGCGAGCUGAUGGCAGAUGCGGAUGGUGUGCCAGAAGCUUGUAAAUCAGAAUAAAUCCCUUGGCUUCACUGCGGCUGGGCGGGUGGCAGCGGCUGAGGUCUGGGCUCUGGCCGCGGCUCGGCUAGAGGCGGCGGAGGGAAGGGUAAAUUAAAUUUUAGAGAACUUAAGCACCCUCGUCAGCUGGGGUAGCGUGUGCCAGUUGUUGUCCCGUUUGUUUCUAAAGUGCACAUCUGUUUUGGAAAGUGACUUUCUGAUGCCUUUAAGUGUUUACUCCUCAAUUGACUAUUUUAGGUUAACUCGGGUUCUUUGCGGAGGGGCAGGAUGACGGCGGGGGGUUACGCUGCCGCAGCUCUGCCGGGGGCAGACGGCGCUGUCAGGUUCCUCUCCCACUUGGGAAUGGAUUCUCUUUUACUCUCCUGAAAUUUUAGUAGAACCAUUAGAGGUCAAAACUACAUUGAAAGCAGCAGAGAACGUUUUCAGUUACUCUUUCCAGAACAGAAUUGCAUUUUAUAUAUAUACACACACACACAUAUAUAUAUAUAUAUAGUACUGAGUCAAGAGACAAAGCAAGUUCUGUUGUAGUGAGUGUCUCGACUUCCUAAACUGGAGACUUUUUCUAGACACGGUCUUUUAGAGACAACUGUAAUCUUACACCGCUUUGGUGCUCUCGUUACAGUUGGGUAAACUCGCCUGGGAGAGAAUAGCUUCUCAGUCUAACUUUUUCUGAAAAUAAUACCUUAUAAUAAGAGUAUCUUAAUGCCAUUGUGUUUUAAAAAAAAUAAAAAAAAUGCUGGUAUGUAAUGCAAGUACAUAAAUAGCCAAAGUUUUCAGUAAUUGUUCAGUGUUACUAAAUUUGCUUUUAUUUAACCUUCCAAGAGAACAUAUUAGGAGGACCUUCAGCGUGUUGAGAUCGUAUUGGGGAAAAAAAAAAAGUCUGAUCAACUUGACUAUAGCAGAUAUGCAGUUAUUUGAAGACAUUUCAGGUUUGAAUACAAUUUAGAGGCAAAGUUCUAAGAUGCAAAACUUACACUUUGGAGGAAGCGCACUGCAAUGACGCUUCAAAGUAACCAAUGCUGCUUUUAAAGAGUGGCACAUUGGCAGUUUUCAAACAUAAUGAAGGUCUUUCCUGAGAAAUCAGGUGACUUUUUCUAUUGCUUCAAUUUUUGUGCAAAAAAAAUAAAUAUAAAUAAAUCAAUGUAUUGCAAUCUUUUUUAAAAAAAAUGGGGUGGGAAUAGUUAAAGAAAACUAUUUUAUGUAAGAACUGACAGAGGGAUUUGCUUUGUAUAAUGCAAGCUGGCUUUAAAAAAAAAAAAAAGCAUUGUAGCAAAUUAUUCAAGUCAAUCAUAUGUUAAUAGUUAUGUGCAACCAGACAUGCAAAACAAUUGUAUUUUUUUAAAUAAAUAUUUUUAACAAAACUUUCUGGCUCUUUUGACCGCUUUUUUUUUUUUUUUUUACAGUAGAGGAAAUGGAAAGUGGCAGCUGGGGGGGCUGCGGGCCCUGCGAGCCGGGGAGGGCGUCAGCCCUGGCUCUUCCCAGCACGGGGCUCCUUCGCAUCUCGCUGGAACGGAGACAGAGCUGGAAUUACUGUUGCUCAUUUUGUAGCGCUGCACAGCCCUUUUCCCAAAUCAGGUAUUAUUCUCGGGUGAAAACUCCCUUCGGUGCGAGCAGCUCCACUUCCCAUCUAGUGCUGGUAGCAAAGCGGGGGUUUGAAUUGUCAAGUGCGCUUUUAACAAAAGAAAUAUUCUGGCACUGGCGUUUAGCUACGUAUUAUCUGCAAGGUGCUUUUUUUUUUUUAAUAGCUGACAGUCCCUGGUGUGAUACAUACGCAAGCUGAGUGGAUUUCUUUCAAAAUAAACUCCCUCAUUGUAUUGUUUCACGCUCGUUUCCUCUGCACAGGGAUGGAGAGAAUGCUGUCAUGGUGGGAGGGGCCCUAUUAAUGACAGAUUGGGGUUUUUUUUUGCUGCAGAUGGGUUUUGCGGCGCACACUUUUUUCAUUCUGGGUAGCCAAGGAGAGUCACAGUGGCAUCCCGUGGUGCUGGAGGAGAAUUACAGCGGCGACUGCCCCGGGCGCGAGGCAGGAGGGCUGCUGAAGGCCAUGGAGGAGCUGAGCCCAGAAUUCAACUGCAUUUACCUCCUUCCUCCACUGGCCGCACGUGCGCUCAACCUUUAGCCAAGUCACCAAGUCUCCUCUUUUGAGAGAUUUUCUAUAGAAACAGCCCUGGGACCUUGUGAAGAUACCUUAUGGAAGGUUAAAGAAUUAACUCACUGUCAAUAACCGCUCAGAAACCAGUCACAGCCGCGGAGCCAAAGAGCCAACUCCAUUUAAAUGACGGAGUCCCAGCACAAGCAUCCAGCAGCACUGCGUUACGCCACGGCACCGAGUCAGCAGAGGGAGCUCCGCAAUACCAGCUCAGAUGAUUAUUUUUUUUUUCUUAAUUGUUUGGGCCCUGACUAUGGGUGUGCACACAGACACGAGAGCCGUUUGGAUUCUAAAGAAAUGGAAUUCAAAAACCGCAGUUCGCUAUAAUGCCGAAACGACUCCCGGUGCUGGUGAUCUCCCUGCACCCAGCAGUACCAACGCGCACGCACGGUGCGAAGGGUUCAGUGUCGGUCCAGUGACUUUUUGUCCUUGGCUGCUACUACUGCCACUGCCUUUAAGGCUUCCACUCAAAGCUGGGGGCUAUCCCCUCUCCGCUCCAAGGCCUGGCGGCAGCUAACGCAGUCCUGGCCUCAGGGUUACCGGAGCAGUCGCACAGCUGGGACAAGCGAUGGAGCCGGCCGUAGGCAUCAAGGAGCUGGAUGGGGCUGUCGCAUGGGAGCGCUGCCACCCAUCUGCUGUGCCGCGCUUCCCUGCUCCCCCGUGAGUAGGGACUAUGUGCUGGAGCAGGAGCUUACACCCGUUCUUAAAACAAUGGCAUCUCGUUUGGCUGUAUCUGUUGGUACCUAAGCUCAGUAUUUGAAGUGUCCAGCAGGAAGGUGUCGAGCUGCUGCCUCCCCUGCCUCCUGUCUGCAAAGCCAUCGGCCCAAACCUUCAAAACGUCCCCAUGAGAACCGUCUCUCCUGUUCUCUCAUCACCCUGUUGUAUCUUCUUGGCCUUGCACUAUUAACAGUGAAACUUGCUACCAAAAUAACGUCUGGUUUAAAUAAACUGCAAAUUAACUGUCGUCUCACUUGUUUCUUUUCUUUUUUUGUAAGGAGUGUGAAUGGGAACUGCUCCCUCCCUGCUGUCUGCCGCAUCCCUUACAUUUAUCUUUCUUCCAUAUCCUUAAACAAUUCCUUCCCCUUUCUCCAAGUGAGUGAGUUUUAUUAAUUUAAGCAACCUCCCAUCACACUGGUUUCUUUGACAGACGCUACAGCCUAAGUAGAGGCUUUACUGAGCUAUCUGCCUUCCCUUUCCCAUGGCUUAACGCGAAUUUCCCUGUAGAUGCCAGAGAAAACAGCGUGCAGAGUGAAUGAAGUUGGCAGACACUUUACUAGGUGCUUCCACAAACCUAACCUUAGAUUAACCGAGGCGCGAGCUCAGGAAAGCGGGGCGAUCGGGUUGUACCCUAGGAAUGGCACGAGAGUCGCUGGAUGAAAAACAAAGCCAGGCGGCAUCUUGGAGAAAAA